AAGGUAACAAUAUGUACCUACACUUUAAUGACCUACCAUGUACAUACAUCAGGGGUAGUUACAACCCCAUAAUUCAGCCACAUUUUAAACCCAGGUUUGGGUUCUCUCAUAUGAAGUGACAUCAACCCUUCUUUUGUCCUCUCAUGGUAAUCCCCCUAUUUUCUCUGUGUUUGAUAGGAGGAGCCAGAGGAGGUGUAUGAGAGUGCCCAUCCCUCCAUCGUACCCCUGAAGGAUGCUCCACCCUGCACAGAGGCAGACAGCAUCCUCAACUAUAUCACCGUGCAUUACUCCAGGAUCCCCAGUCUGGACCAGAUUCAAGUUCCAAAUGUACCACUGGAUGGCGAUAAAGAGCCAAAGGAUGCUGCCAAUGUUGUUUACACUGUCCUGGCCAGACCACACCAGUAGUUGUACAGGUAUAGUAGAACAUGUUUUGAUGUCACUAAUUUAUCUCUGCUAAUAUAUGAACAUCAAGAGUUAUAUACACCUCACAAUCUAAUGAAAUAAUUUGCAAUAAGUUCAAGUUUGACCAUAGAGACAAACAUAUUCUAAAUGUGAAUUCAGUGACACACCUCCAUUAACGUUGUUGUUGUUUUUUCUCGCAUAUCUCCCAGAUGAGAACUGUAGCUCCAAAUGAGUGACAUCGCCAGAAGGAUCUCUACCAUCUACCCCUGAACUGCUUCUGAGCUGGACUGCUCAUUCUAAGCCAAUUUACUGUUUUAUCUAAUUCACUACAAAGUCUAAUUUACUAGGAAUAGUUAAAAUAGUUAUUGUAAUUCAUUUGGCAUUAUAAGUGGCAUUAUAACUAAUUUAUUAGCAUUUAACGUUUUACUAGUAGUGGCCAGAUAAUGAAAUAUUCCAAUAUCAGAAUCAUCCUAAAAAUGUAUCUUUUUCACCCUCAGAAGGAAGUCAUUUUGGCCAUUUUCUCUCUGGGUUCUCUCAAUCUCCUCCAUUAGAUAUCAUUAAAAUGUAACAUACUUUAAAAAUGAAGUUUGGUAUGCAUCAUCCCUCAUGCUAGUUUAAUGGAGGAUGUGUGUAAAUGUGUUACUAAUCACAUCUUAUGUUUAGGGUAUGGUUGGUAUGUCCCAAAUUGCUUGUUGAAAUAGCUUGUUGUCAAAUAAACAUUUUUAAAUGAAGAAAGAAUUGCUAGAUGUAUUAAAGACAUUUAUCAGGUAGACACUUACCCUGUUUAUUCUGAUCUAUCAUGGUGUGGAUGUCAGUACUGAGUUAUUGAUUAAUUAUUGAGAUAUGAACUAUGUACUACUUUUCAUAACAGAUGAACACGGAAAUACUGCAGAGAUCAGAGGGGAUAUUUGAUAUUGUUCUAAUGUCAUUGCUGUGUUACCCUGAUGGUGAAAUUCUUUCUGAAAUGAUGAACCUCAAAGGAUAGGGCUGUAUCUCAUCUGAGAUUACAGAGUAACUCACUCAUCUAAUGAAUAAUACAGAAGAGGCCAUGAUAUGGUCAUCUGAGUCUGCACCAGAACGUGUACAGUUUUACCCAUGGUGUCUCAGAGGGAGAUGGGAUAUACAAAAAACACAUUUCAAUUCACACAUGUAUAAUACACACUUGUACGUGUGUGAAAUAUUAUCAUCAUCUCGUCAACAUAUUGAAUGUCUCUAAAUCGCCAAAUCUAUUCCCUGCUUGCAUAGAAAAGUUAGAUGACCUUCCCUGUCAACCUUCAGUCUCAACUUCUGCAUUCUGCUUGUGAAAUUGUUAUUAUCACAUCAGUCCAUGGUAUUUGCAUGGUCAUUUGCUGACCAGUCUCAUUCUGUGGACAUGCUCUGCAGAUAGGUGAGUGAUCCUGUUUAUUUCUAUAAAGUUUCAUGUGUUUCCUUUCAUGCAGUUGAUUUUUAUGUUUACCAAUGUUAAUGUAGAAUAAGAUUUCUAUUAAGAAAUUUAAGCAUAGUUAAGUUUAUUUUAUGUUUGGUGAGGAUAAAAAACAGAAUGACUAGAUUAUGUAAAUGUCUAUCCCAGUUGUUCCAAAUGUUCCUAAUUGAAAAGCCUUGAAGAUAAUUGGAAUUGGAAUUUCAGUGUAAUUCUUCAAUUUAAAUGGAAUUGACCCCAACCCUGAUUGACAGAGACAGUUACACCUUCUUUAAAUUAAAACAAUGUUGAUGCUGCCACCACCAUGUUUCACCAUAGAGAUGGUGCAAGGUUUCCUCCAGUCUGUUUGAUGAUUGGCUUUGCUACUGUCUAAUGCUGUAUAAUUCCCUCAACCUGUGGUGUUGCAGUUGUUGGUGUUGCUGUUUGAUGCGAUGUGGCUCUUUGAAACAACCAGUAUGAUUACUCUCAAGUUGCCAGGUGAGUAGAUUAUAUAUUUUUUGUUUGAUACUCUAUCAUUCUGUGGAUGCCAGUAUUCAGUUAUGAAUAAAUUAAUGAUAUAAACUGUAUAUUGUAUAUGGCUCAUUAGAGAUGAGCAAGGAACUGAUCAGAGGGGAUAUUUGAUACUGGUCUAAUGCUAUUGUUGUUACCUUGAUGGUGAAAUAAAUAUUUAUCAAAUGACUAACCUCAAGGGAAAGUAAUAUAUUAUUAUCUAAGAUUACAGAUUAACUAACUCUUUAGAUCAACAAAAAUACAGAAGUGACUGAUAGCCUGUUUGUGCACCAGCAUGUGAAGAGUAUUACUGUAUCUUUCAAAUUAACAUAUCUGAAGGUAGACCCCUUUAGGAAUGCUAUAUUAUAUUUUCCUACCUUUAAAAAGGGCAAAUCGGUACUGUACAUAUGAGUGUUGUAGAUAAGUGUGAUAACUGUUUUUUGAGGGAGUAAUUGGAAAAUGACAUUCAAUGAUACAACACCAUAGCUCCAUGUGCCUUAACAAGUUGAGGGUAAGGUCAUCUAAACCCUUAACCUGUUUACAUUAUGUGGAACACUGAGCUGAUGAGCAAGCACCAACCUUUUGAAGGUUAAACAACUGGGUUUUAUAUUUUGACUAGGUUGAUGUCCAGGGACAGUUAGUGAAAAACAUAGGUCAAUCCAACCCUAUUGUGGUAAGAAAUAUGGAAACAGUGGUUAACAUUGAGAGAUUUAUUCAUCUCUGAAUCUACAUUUCUCUUGGUAUGUGUGUGUAUUUUUGAUACUCACUCCCAUUAAUAGAAGUCUAACCUUUAUUAUCAUUAUAGUAUUACCAUACUAAUUGGAUUCCACAACCCAGAAUGAAGGGUUUGAAAUUAUGAAGUGUCUGUUUUUUUUCUGUGUUGAUUUCCAUUACUUUAAUAGGAGUAUAGAAUAUUUUGAUAUAGAAGCUAAAAUCUAAAUGCUUACAUUAAAAUGUAAUGAUUAUUGUCACACAAGUGAUGAGGAUGGAAUGUAAUGGACAUUUAAUGUUUGUGCUUUCCUUAUAACUAAUUUCUGUGUUCAAUUCAUGUGCUGUUAUAUAAACCAAUUUAUGUGUUCAUGCAAGUGGUUGACUGUACAAAUCCUCACUAUCAGUAGCUGAAAUUUGGAAGUACGCCCAGACCUUGUUUUGAAAGAUAUCUCAGUUUCAAGGUCUCAGCUUAGAGAGAUGAAGCCUCAUGAGGUAUUGGUCUGUCACGUGUUAUGAACCAGUAUUGGUCUGUCACAAAACACUAAUGAUUAAUUAUGCUACAUCAUGCAAAUAUAACUUGUCUGCGUAUAGCCGUAUAGAAGACAACUAUUGGGACUGCCCAGGCAGAGCUCCUGAUUGACAUGUGUACUAUGAUGUUUUGAGUUGGUUGGAACCUCUCCAGCAUGCUGACAAAUAAACAAUGAUUAAUUUAAGAUUGACUUUGAGUGUCCCUGUGAAAGAAUUUCCAAGACAUAACCAUAUCUGUCUUAUGUAACCAUACAAAAUGUAACAUAUCAUACUAAUUUGGUAUACUUGAUUGACGUUUACUAUGUUAUGUCUAGUCUAUGAGACCAGGCUUUUCUGAGUUCCUCAGAGACAGUAGUGCUUUUACUUAGGGUGAUUUUAUUGUGCUAAUUUAUCUUCCUGGUAGCAUUUUAUUUGGCUUAUUUAUUUUACUUCCAUCAGUCUCUCUGGUUUCACUGUUGUUUUCUUGCCCUAUUCAGUUUAAUUUUACCAUUUUAAUUUGUCUAGGUCAUCUAUCAUAUCUUUGUCAUUUUUAUAUAUGUAUUUAUUAUUUUACUUUUGGUUUUAAGAACUUUCAAAUGCAUUAACUUGUGCUCUAUGAAUAAAGUUUGAUUUGAUAUAGAAUUAUGCCGUACCGUAGGUCAAACAUGUCUUUCUAACAUGCAGAAAUAAGGAAUCAUUAGAGUCCUUCCUCUUACUCAAACACCAAGACAAUAUAUCAAAUUGCUUCGAAGAAGAAGUCUGUCUCAUGAUAGCAUGGUCAGCAUAAUGUUUAUAACACAUUUCUAAUGUACAGUAUUUAGCCAAAAACCUGUUUGCCUCUGCCAGUAUAGCGGACAUGAGCCGAAGAAUGGUUGCUCAUGGUCACAUGAAGCAGUAGCCCCCCUGCAACUUCAAAGUCAAUGUCUGGCCUCAGCCCAAGAGGGGAUUUCCUCUUGGUUUAAUGGUAAGAAGUUGGUUUCUUCUGCGGUAAAGUCAGGGUUUGUACCCCUUCUGUCACAUCAGGAAGCUGAAACUUGGCCGCAAGUGGAACUUCCAGCAAGGCAAUAACACCAAGCACACAUCAAAAUCAACAUGUUGCAAUUCCCAAUUGCUGGUCUAAAGUAGUGCACUAUAUAGGGAAUAGGGUGCCAUUUGGGAUGCAGACCUAGCCUGUCUGGGAUUUUUUAUUGAGAAAUGUGUUUAAAAUUCAACUGCUAAACUGUCACUCAGGCUGUCAGAACAUUACUUUUGCCAUUGUCAAAGCAGGGGGAAAUUAAACAUCUCUGCAGAAUGGAUGGCCUUCACUGGUUGUGGAAUAGAUGAAAAGUCUUCAGUCAAACAUAGAUUAUGUAGCUCCACCCUAUAGAAGAAAUAAAUAGAGAGAGAGAGAAACAUACAAUUCUUUAUCUCCACCUUUUCCCCGACCCAUCUAUUUGCAUAAUGAUAACAAAGCCCUUUCCCUGUCAUUUUAACUAAACUCAGCAAAAAAAGAAACGUCCUCUCACUGUCAACUACGUUUAUUUUCAGCAAACUUAACAUGUGUAAAUAUUUGUAUGAACAUAACAAGAUUCAAUAACUGAGACAUAAACUGAACAAGUUCCACAGACAUGUUACUAACAGAAAUGUAAUAAUGUGUCCCUGAACAAAGGGGGGGGGGGGGGGGGGGGGGGGGGGUCAAAAUCAAAAGUAACAGUAUCUGGUGUGGCCACCAGCUACAUUAAGUA
rnacentral:lncRNA from 8 species